AGGCUUCGGCGAGACCGGCCGGGCCGGAGCGUCUCUGCGGGCCGGGUCGGGUCCCGGAGCGGGGGAUCCGCGUUGGGGAACCGCCUUUAUAUUUUCUCCCGAGCGCGUCUCCCUCGGGCAGCGUUAUUGGCGGAGCCGCUUCUCCGCGCGCUGCUCCCAUCGCUGCCGGAGCGCCCUGAACCAGAUGGCGGUCCCGUACUGAAGCACGAGGCUCCCAGCUCCCCUCUCCCCGCUGGAUAACACCUGCAGAGCAGCGCCCCGAACUGCGGGGCCGCGAUUUCCCCGCCUGCGGGGCACGGUUUGCAGCAGCACGGGACCCGCAGCGCCGCGAAAGGUCUCUCAGGUGGACAAAUGCCGCUCUGCGAUGCGUCUGUCAGGCUUGAUGGAGCACAUCUUACCAGCAGCUCUUAAUAUCCGGCCGUCCUACUGCAGCUUCAAACGCUCGUAGCUCCUGCUUAUGCAAAAUACUCUCUCGUGUUCCUCACCGCUUGCUUUCUGCUUGCAAUUGGAGGAACGUUACACGCCGUACCCAGCAGUCAAGCUGCUGCUUUCAUGAAAGAUGCCCUCAGGAUAUUUUUUGCUCGCGUGUUUGACAUUUGCAUUUGGCACCUGGCUGACAAGCGCUCGCUCCUCACAGGCUGUGCUGUACGCUCCCGUGGUUCUGCGGGUUGAGAAAUGGGCUCAUACGGCACUAUUACCAAGCAAUAAUCUAAGUCAUUAUCAAAAAUGCACGGAAGCGUGAUUUGUAUGUACUGUUUUUUCCUUCUUGCGUGACAUCUUUUGAUAUGCAUUUGCAAAAUUCCACCGCAUUUCCCCAGGUGGUUCUUGAUUUUUCUGUGGCUGGGAGGCAGGGAGCCAGCUGCCACAUGAAGAACGAGCUGCUAGCUCCUUGCUUUUCCACUCUUACCCCCCUCUCAUUGCACAGUCUGCAAGCACAAUUGGCAGGGCUGCAUGCACCGUGCCUUGUGCUCAGAGUUCAUAGCGACGCCCUGUCCAGCUCAGGUGACACUUGGCAUGUUGUGCUACCAAAGCUAUGCUGUCCUCAGGCACAUCACUGUUACUCAUUUUUGCAUAUCAGACACUGCAGAAAUACAUUAAGAGCUGGUGAGGUGUGGGUCCAGAGGCAGCUCUAUUACUAUCCAGAUAAGAAUACAAGACUUCUAAGAUCCUGGACUAUGGAUACUCCUCCCAACAGCAGACCAAUUCUGGAGAAUUGAAGACUAAUUGCGGUGGUCUUAAUUUCUCUAACAGAGACAUUGCUUUGGUGUAACUUUUAAAAACUGAACCAUGCAAGGAAAUACCUGUAUGCUCAUCGUGAGUAGUUACCCGCUGCCAGCAGGGAAACGUCGGUUCUGUUAGCAACAGCAACUCCAGCAAUAAGAGGCGUUGUAACUACAGGUUGUGAUUUGUAUGUUCUCUGAUGCGAGGGGGAAUUGCAGCGCGGCAGGCAGCAGCACCCUGCCCGGUGUCACUAGGUGGCAAUGCCACGCCACAAACUGGAUGGAGGCUGCAGAGCAGUGGGAAGCUGCCCAAUCAUAUGGCUGGUUUGAUCACAGAGAGGAAAAGGAUAAUGUAAGGCAGAUGUGCAAGGCCUCUUGCACCUGCUAGUCAUACCCAGCACUGCAUUAUGCAGUAGUACUGGGGGAACCCAUUGUGCAUUGUCAGAAAGGGCCAGGUGCUGUUCCUCUGGUCAGCAAUCUGUUUGCUGCCUUAUGCAUCAUCAAGAGACUUCCCAUUGAGCGCUGUAGCCCAAAAUCCACACCUGCAGCACUAGUCAUUCCUCACUGAACUGUAUCAGUGAAAGCUUAGGCCACAAAUGGUACAUGAGGCCUGCCAGCAUCAGCAGCCAAAACCAUGACCACUGGGAAACCAGCAGGCUCUAGGGACCAUAGAGAGUGGCUAGAGAGGCCUGCAAGAACUGCCCCUCAUCCAAGCUGUGCAUGCUGCUCAGCCCAAGCACAGCACCCACAGCCAGCACCUGCCUGCCAAGAGCAGACCCCAGAAUAGCAGCCCACACCCUAUGGAGCCCCAUGCCGGCCCAAGGCAGCCUGUUGUCACCAGCUGUCAUGAGGUCACCCAAGUGCAUCUCAGUUAUGGACACAGGCAACAGCCUUGACAUGAACUGUUCAUAUAGAAGGGGCCUUGCUGGUUUUGCUUUUGGUUUGGUUUGUGUUGCAAGCACCAUACUCAUGCCUCAGUUUCCUGUAUCCAGUUUUCAUUUUGCUCAACAGACAGUCUCCAGAGUGGGCAAGAGAACUUGCAAACAAGACAUCAUUCAGUACUGAAAAAUAAGAUAUAGUAGCUAAUGUAUCCUUCACACCUGUUUCAAAGAGCCAAUGGUAGCUGUAUGAGUUCCCAUUGCUUUUGCCCAUUACAUAAAAAUGCAAUGCUGCAUUUUUAAUUCCAGGUUUCAGCAAUCAAAACUUUGCUAUGAUGUUGCAAAUGUUUCUCACAUGCCUAUGUUUCCUACCCAUACUUUUUUUUUUUUUUUUCUAAACUUUAUCUCUUGUUAUCAACUUUUUGCCUGUGUUCAUUUCAUCAGUGAACUCUCACAAAGGGGAAGAGAAGACUGCCAUCUCCUCCUGGCCAUGACCAGUCAGGCUUGCGUGGUUGUAACAAUCAGAAAGAUCAAUGUGAUGAAAUGGUGAUACAAGAGACGUAAUGACAAAGGGACUAAUACAAUAAAAAGGUGUUACAAGAGAAGGAAAAAAGGACUGCUCACCCAUCUCCAAAGACCCAGGCAUACAGGGGAAAGCUCCAGCAGAGACAGAUCUCCAACCAAAAACCCUUCCCCCCUAGAAGUCAGCCCUUAAAUGGGGUCUAGGAGAGGUGUAGCCAGGCUCCACCCCUCUGGUCACACAGCUGAAUUGCCUUCACCUGUGCUCCCAGGGCUGACCGGGUCCUUUCCCUAGGUUCUCAGUCAGGGGUUCAGGCCAUGACUCAAGAAUUACCAUACAGUGAUCAUGUUAGAAUGCAAUGAAAGUUUACUGAGCCUCAUCGGCAACUUCUUGUAAAUACCUUACUUGACUGUAUGCAUGCCCUUCACCCUUUGCGCUCUGCAAUUCAGUGUAGGGGUUCCUUCCCCCGUGCUGUACUUCUGUGCUCCCCAUCCCUCACACUGCUGGUGGUGUCCCUGCAGCCAAGCAGUCGGUCCACUCAGUGUCCAAAAAUCCAGCCCAAUGGAGAGAUCUGCUGGUUGUCUCUCAGCUCAGCUCAGCACAUCACCCCAGCCGCCCAGGACACACGCCUGGUACCAAUACAGCAGGGCAGGUGGAGGCCAGAGUUGCAGCCACUCUAAGCCAUGUCAGUUGAGGCUGCCAUAAACCAGGCAGUAACAAGCAAUGGUACCACUGUGUAUGCCACCCUGAACCACAGAUUUUGCCCACCUACACACAGUGAUGCCAUGUAUAUUCCACAGGCCAGGAUCUUAGUUUCAUUGGAAGUGAAAGACACUUCAGAAGUGUUUUUUAGAUCAAAGUAAACGUGGUCAAAAGAGAUUUUUCCAACAGAAAUACAGUGGUUUGGCAGUAUUGAAAACCUAUAAAUAACCUGCCUACAACAGAGACAGCAUAUUACAAAAUGUUGAGUGUUUGUGAGUAUCAAGCAAGCAGGUCAGUACAGUGUAGGCUUGAACUCUCUUUAAAGCUUCCUGAAAUAGUUUUUUUUCACAAAUUGUGUUCCCAAAAUAAAUUG
ensembl:lncRNA